AACCAUAGAAACCUGCGGAGUACCUGCGGAGGGAUCAUUACCGAGUUUACAACUCCCAAACCCCUGUGAACAUACCAAUUGUUGCCUCGGCGGAUCAGCCCGCUCCCGGUAAAACGGGACGGCCCGCCAGAGGACCCCUAAACUCUGUUUCUAUAUGUAACUUCUGAGUAAAACCAUAAAUAAAUCAAAACUUUUAGCAAUGGAUCU
rnacentral:misc_RNA from 1 species